rnacentral:rRNA from 1 species
UACGAAGGGGGCUAGCGUUGCUCGGAAUGACUGGGCGUAAAGGGCGCGUAGGCGGCGGUCACAGUCAGAUGUGAAAUUCCUGGGCUUAACCUGGGGGCUGCAUUUGAUACGUGGUUGCUUGAGUGGGGAAGAGGGUCGUGGAAUUCCCAGUGUAGAGGUGAAAUUCGUAGAUAUUGGGAAGAACACCGGUGGCGAAGGCGGCGACCUGGUCCUUGACUGACGCUGAGGCGCGAAAGCUAGGGGAGCGAACGGG